CCCCCGGGCCGGGCGGGCGCGGGGGGAGCCCGGCCCACCUUAACGCCUGUUUUUCUCCCCUCUCGGCUAGCUGUCGGUAGACACUCUGCAGUUCCUCCUGUUCCUGUACAUCCAACAGGUGAACAAGGUCUCUCUGCGGACGUCUCUGAUCGGGGAGGAAUGGCCCAGCCUCAGGACCAAGUCUCCCAGCCUGACUGGAAAAUCUGCCAGCGAGAAUAAGGUAUUUGUGCGGCUGUAGGAUUCCCCUUGUGUGGCCCCGUGGGAAACUGCAAGGUCCUGCCUCGAGGUGGGUUGAAAAGCGGCUGGUUUGUUCCGGGAGGGUGUAACCCUGCCUGCGGUAAAGUCGGAGUUAGAGUCAAAUUCGAGACGCUUUGCUCAACUGCAAAUGAAUUGAAGUUGGUGUGUCCUCUGUGGCUUACCAGCAAAAGCUGUCUGCAGGAAUUUAUCCUAGAGUCUAGAGACAGACCAGGAAAGUUUUCUCGGCAUCUUGGCAGUUCUCCUUUCAAGAAGCAACCAACUCUUUGCUUUUUCUGUUAAUUAGUCCAAUAGACGAGGUGCUUGGAGACCUGGUUUAGUAGCAGACAGGUAUGGUCAGGUUCAAUGAUCUUAAAGGGCUUUUCCAACCAAACGAUCCUGUGAAAUGGGAAGCUUUUCUUACGUUGGAGGCUGCUUUCCCAUGAUCCGCUGCAGAGUAUUGGGAUCCCAGGAUGGCCCCUAGUGCUGAGUUGUAUUGCAGAGAAGGGAGUUGCUUGGUCACCUGUAGCUCAACCCUGUGGAAAUCCUAACGUUCCCUUUAAAACACUCAAGAAGAGAAGCGUGUUGGGUUUAUCAGGGGCAGCUUGUGGGCAGCUCUGUAUUCAAGAGUGAAUUAUAGGUUGGCAACAUUGUCCUGAGGGCCAGCUGCAAACCUCAGUGUAUUUCUGUGAUGCUGUGAGCCAUACGAGCUAGUGAAAUGUAGCUUGGAACAAGCUGAAAUAAUUAAAAAUAGGGACUGGGUAGCUUUAUACCAAAAGGUGGAACAAAGAAAAAAAGAAAUGAGAUGAACUGGUACGGGGCUGUGAGGUGGGUGGCUGUGGAGCAUCCAGUGUUAUUUAAAAGCUGAGGUUUUUUUUGAACUGUAGCCAUUACGUGAAACUCUGGGCAGGAAGGAGAAGCAUCUUGGCUGCCACCAUACCCCUCCCAGAGGUUUUGGUCCCAAUGGGACUGGGGCUGUGUCCACUGGUGCAAUCAGGAGAGAUUCCCCCAGCUUCAGCAAUGCUUGAGGUGAACUGUUCCCCCUUUUGAAAUGGUGUAGCAAGGCUUGUCCGGUGUGAUAGGGUCCCUGUCACAGGGCAGGGAUCUCCAGCUGCUCGAUGAGAUGCUCGCAGCUGCUUGUUACCCCCUUUUGGCUACAGCCCGUGCGGGUGGUGAGGCCCAUGUGUAAUCACAGCCGUGUGUGGCUUGUUCUGCAGAUCACAGGCAGGCCAUGGUUGUCUUUAUUAAUGCCUGCUUAAUUCCCAUCUUCUCCUUUUUUUUUUUUUUUUGUAUGCAGCCCUUUAGAAUUUGAACUAACGAGUCUUUCAGAGGUCGUUUGGUUUAUUGGUCCACUCGCUAUGAAGGAAUGACCCUCUGCUUUUUCCCUGCAGCACCUCUGAAGGUGGCACUUAAUCAUAGCUGAAGGUCUGGAACACAUGCAAAGAUUUUUCUCAUAGAGCAGUUGCAAGACCUUGACUGUCAGUUAUUGAUUUGUUUCCUACCUCCAAUUGCCAGCAGCAGCUGUCUGAAUUUGUGUGGGAAGGGUUGUAGGAGAGUCUGUUUCUGCUUUCUAGAAUGAAAUAUUUGGCACUUGGAGUUAGAAUUAAAUGUGUUUUUUUUUCCUUUUUUGGGGGGGAGGUUGCUGAUGAGUCCCGUUUCCUUUCUGUGUUUUGGAAGAGCAGAGCCACAGAAGCAGUGAGCGGGAGAGAGUGCUAUGUUUGACUGGCUUUCCCUCUUUUAGAACAAGUGUAAGCAAGGAUGCAUUGUACACUGUCAGUGGAGCUUGUGGGCUCUGUGAGAACUCACCUCGUUCUUCUGUGUUUUUCUGCCCGCUCAGAACUGGAACGAUCAGGACCACCGUGCCUUUGUCCAGAGCCACCUCUCGGAUAUGCUGGAGCUACUGCUGGAGCCGGAGCAGCUCACUGCCUCCUCCCAUUCCACCCACAGUAGCUUGGUGUCCUACGAAGCUGUCCAUGCCCUUAGCUUUCUUGUUGAAGGGACCGUGAGCAAAUCCAGGAUGGUCCAUCCUUUGCAUGAGCUUGCCCUCUGGCAGCCCUGCCAUGCGCGGAAUGGCUACUCAAAGGUCUCCAAAGCCUUCUCUUUCCCCAAGCUAGAGAGCUGGCUGCGGUCCUGCCUGACAACAAACCCUUUUGGAAUGACUGCCUGCCUCAAGUCCGGGAAGAAACUCGCAUGGGCUCAGCAAGUUGAAGGAACAACCAGGAGAGCAAAGAUUGCCUGCAAUACUCGUGUGGUGCCUGAGGUGUUCCCCAUGGUGAUAAUGAGUCAGGUGUACAAGCAGACGCUGGCCAAGAGCUCGGACACCCUGGUGGGGGCUCACAUAAGAAUUCAUCGCUGCAACGAGUCCUUCAUUUAUCUCCUCUCGCCUCUCCGAUCUGUGACCAUUGAGAAGUGCCGGAACAGCACUUUUGUCCUUGGCCCCGUGCAGGCGUCUGUUCACGUCCAUAGCUGUGACAAUGUCAAGGUCAUUGUGGUUUGCCAUCGUUUGUGCCUGUCUUCCACCUCUGGCUGUACUUUUUACAUUCUCACACCUACCCAGCCUCUCAUCCUCUCAGGGAACCAAGCAGUCAGCUUUGCCCCUUUCCACACCCAUUAUCCAAUGCUUGAAGACCACAUGGCUCAGGUGGGCUUGGCCACUCUGCCAAACUACUGGGACAGCCCCAUGCUGGUGUGUAAGGAGAGCGGCGACAUGAGCUUUUUCCGCCUCCUGCCGCCCUCGGACUUCUACACCUUUGUGAUUCCUUUUGAGAUGGAAGGAGACACCACAGAGACGCCCGGUGGGCUUCCCCAUGCCUAUCAGAAGGCACUGAGUCAGCGAGAGCAGAAGGUACAGAUCUGGCAGAAAACCGUGAAGGAGGCAGGCCUGACCAAGGAUCAGAGGAAACAGUUCCAGAUGCUGGUAGAAAACAAAUUCUACGAAUGGCUGGUUCAGACAGGCAACCGUGAGCAGCUGGAUAGCCUUGUCCCUCCUGCAGUAGGCUCCAAGCAGGCAGCAGGAUAGCAGCGUGUUCCUGUACAGCAGAAGGAAAGGAAGGAGUUCUGGGAACAGGCAGCGAUUUACUGAAAACUGUUCUCGUUAAGACUUUGCAGCCAUCCUGCCUGAACACACUUGGAUGUGGACCUGAUGUCUGGCCUCGGCAUGGCUUGGACUGUCUGUCUGCGUUGGGAUUUCUAAUCACUGCCUCUUUCCCGGGAGUGGGCUGUAACCAUUCUGUUGGUAACUCGAGGAUGAUGAACAAGUACACCUUGUUGCAGAUCCUUUAGCGGGGAGGCUGUCAUCGUGGUUAGUGGCCAUGGUGUGCAGGUAUCCAGCAAAGGAGCCCGUCCUGGUGCAGAGCUGGGCCCAGAGCCCUGGCCAUCACGUGCAUCUUUAUGGUACAAGCCAGCUGUGCUGUUUUUAUAAAUGUGAAAAAGAACUGUUUGAUUUUUUUUUUUUAAUGAAUGAAAUUCAAUGGAUUUUUUUAUAUGAAGAUGGCACUUAAGCAAUGUGGUUUUAUGGAAUUAACUUUCUUCUACAUUUGCGUUGUUUUGACAAAUGUCAAUAAAGCAGAGUUCUCAGAUAAGCCUGGCGCAUGUCCUAGGGAAGGGGUCGUGCAGUGGGUAUCAGAGGGAGGAGACACCUUCACUGCAGUGUGAACCGGUCAGCUGAGAGAAAAAUGCUAAUUCAUUAACAGCCGUGGAGUUGAAAGUUUUGAAGGCUGCCCUAGCACAGCAUUUUGAUACAAAUGCUGUUUCCUCCCUUUAAUAUUUCUUGUAAAGAGUAGCAACUCGUGUGAGUACCAUUCUCAUGUGCUCAUGGAACCUGUCCUGGGGAGUUGUGCUCGUUAGCUGAGCGCCUAAAUAAGCUGGGCAAACCAGGCAGAGGCCUUGCCUGGCCGACCACAUGCAGCAGUUCUCUGUGACUGGUGAAGAGCUGUCCAAGCCGAGAGCGAGCGCAAGGCCGGGGGCGUUCAGUCCUCUGGUGUCCGCAGCUGUCGUAAUGCCAGGAUUUUUCUGAAGGUCUCUCUUGGCUCCUGGGGAGGCGGGUGAUGUGAUACAAGCUAUAGCCUCGGAAUCACUGACUCAAUUUUUGGAUCCUAUUCUCAUGACAAAGCGGCUGUCUGGUUUAAAACAAGCCCAUUAUAAAAAGGGUGCCUCGCAUCCUGGCUGCUUGUAACAGCUUCUGACGUUCCUCCAGCACUGAGGAGCUUGGCUGGAACGGAAAAUGUCCAGAGCUGGAACCAAGGUAAGUUUAUUUGCAGCCUAUUCAUGAUUGUGGUUAGGAGUACAGAAUUUACCAGGGAUAGGUUGUGGAGAAACUUUGGAUUCUUUGUUCUGCUGACAGCUUUCCACCUCCAUCAGUCCGUUGGCAAGAGGAGAUACUUGAAAUCCCUUGACAAGUAGAGGAAAGCUGGAGCUGAGCCCUCCUUUAGUCUUUUCCCAGAUCUUGGCUGUUUCCUCUAGGUGUGGCUGUGCAAGAGGAUGGAGUUGAACACAGUGACCGGUGAGGGGAUAUUUUAAAAUGCACCAGAACCUGAUGCCUUGUAAAUUGUCAGCAGAGACUGCUGGGCCAGGAGCCAACGUGACCAACAGCAUUUGCAGAGCAGCGGCUCAGGGAAGGCUUCCUUGGGAGGACCUGAGUCCCAAAGCCACAUCCCCCUUCCGUGGCGGAGCAAAGGGUUGUGCUGUGACAGAAAGACACCUGAAUGAUGACUGCAGCACCAAAGGCGAUGGCAUUCCCCGAGAGAUGCGGACCGACCUUGUGAUUUGUUGGAAUUGGCAGAGGAAUUUAAACUGGAGGAGGAGGUAGAUCAGAAAGCUCAACUUCAGCUGGAGUGACAGGCAUCAGAUGGGGAUCCAGCUCUGAUGCUGUGUUCUUUGCCUUGCAAGUUAGCAGAGCUGAGCUGGUUGGUCGUGUGGACCUUGCGGCAGGGUUGGGACUGAGCAGGGGUAAACAGCUGGGAAAGGAGGGCGAGAACUUUGGGCUCAUGGCCAGUUUCUCCUGUGGAGUGUUAAACAAAUGUUAAGAGGCUGUGGACAGAUGUACGUCUUCCCAUUGUAUUAGUUUUGCUUUUGGGUUACUUUCCUUUUAACCUGUGGAGAGCAUAAGAGCUAAGGGGGCAGAGGGCUCGGAAUCAGAGUGGUGGUGUCGGCAAUGGCCAAUGCUCUGGAAGAUCUGGAUUUGAUCUCUGCUGCACCUCUCCUCUGUGAUCUUGGCUAUUUGAUAGCCAUCAAAUCAAAGUGAUUUGGUGAUUUCUGAGCAGUUUUUAGAAACUGAACAUGGUGUGCCGCUUCCUUCUAACCUGGUGGCUGCCAGUCUUUGUGUACCCAUGCGUAGAGAAGGUGCUGGGGAAACGUGGCUGAUGUAUGCUUGAGUCCCCUGUAUUCUUGAAGAGAGUUAAGCACAUUCUGCCUUUAACCCUGCUGAAAGCCAUGUCCCCUGUGAGUGUGCCACGGGGAAUUUGUUGAUGAUGUGCUGCUGUGCUGCAGCAAAAUGACCAAGAGGAGUUAAGUCAGUGAAAGAACGCAAAUCUCAUCUUUUCUCCAUGCCAUGCUCUUGCCUAGCACAUUCCAGGGAGAAGAGAAGGGCGAAGGAGAGAAUUAAACACUAUUUCCCACAACCUAAGCAAGUGGUCUGCCCUAGAAAGGAGUUGCUGCCUCCAUCCCACUUUCUUAGAGAGCAGUGGGCGUUCCUGGUUAUGGCUUACAGUUAUCGUUUACAGGUUUCCUUCUCGCAGAGCUGCUGUUGGGAAAGAAAUGCGAUAACUACCGUGAGGUGGCCAAAGGAAUAAGUCCAAAUAGCCAUGUCCUGGUUUUGGCUGGGACAGAGUUCAUUUUCUUCCUAGCAGCAGGCACAGCACUGUG